rnacentral:tRNA from 1 species
GUUUUAAUAGUUUAAUUAAAAAUUUUGGUCUUGUAAAUCAAAGAUAAAUAUAAUUUUUAAAACU